UACGGAGGAUCCAAGCGUUAUCCGGAAUCAUUGGGUUUAAAGGGUCCGUAGGCGGUCUUGUAAGUCAGUGGUGAAAGCCCAUCGCUCAACGGUGGAACGGCCAUUGAUACUGCAAGACUUGAAUUACUAGGAAGUAACUAGAAUAUGUAGUGUAGCGGUGAAAUGCUUAGAUAUUACAUGGAAUACCAAUUGCGAAGGCAGGUUACUACUAGUGGAUUGACGCUGAUGGACGAAAGCGUGGGGAGCGAACAGG
rnacentral:rRNA from 1 species